rnacentral:rRNA from 1 species
GACGUAGGGCGCGAGCGUUGUCCGGAUUUAUUGGGCGUAAAGCGCACGUAGUCGGCUUUGCAAGUCGGGUGUGAAAUCCCCGGGCUCAACCUGGGAACUGCAUCCGAGACUGCAUUGCUAGAGUAUGGGAGAGGGAAGCGGAAUUUCUGGUGUAGCAGUGAAAUGCGUAGAUAUCAGAAGGAACAUCAGUGGCGAAGGCGGCUUCCUGGACCAAUACUGACGAUCAGGUGCGAAAGCGUGGGGGAGCAAACAGG